AGAUGAUGUGAAAAAGGCAGCUGUACUCACAUAGACCCAUUGUUCCACUCAGGAUGAGGAACCUAAGAUUGGACUGUGUCUUAAACAGAAGUGAGCAUCAGCUGUUACUUCCUGGAUAAUGAAACUGAAUGGGCGUCACUGGGUCUAUGACGUAAAUAAACUUCCUUUAGUCAUCAUAGAACAAGUGAUUGUGAGGCUGGAUCUCAGGAGGUUUGACAUAGUUAUUUAUUUUAUUUAUUUUAUGUUUUUUAUUAUGUAUUUCACACACAUGUGUUAUUUCAAGGAUUGUUCUUUCUAUUUUAAUCCUUAUGUUAAAUCAACUGCUUAAAAUAAACACAAACAAAAAGGAGGUUAUGAUACGGAGCGUGUUUGAAUGUUAUUUGGGUCACUGAAAAUGUGUCUGCAUUAUGUGUGUCCAUUCUUUGGGGUGUGGUAUGCAACAGAAGAAAGACCGCAGGUACCAAUUAGUGUAGAAUUUCCUCACAUACUUGAGUCAUACCUUGAUUCUGGUUUAAUCUUGUUAAGAAAAAUAGUGAGAAACAGAAAUGGAAAUAAAAUGGGUGAGUAUAAAAGGCUUAUCACAGCAGACACAAGAGCAGAAGGUGAGAGGAGUUAUAAAAACAACCAACGUCUGAGAAGCCCUGGACAGGAGAUCCUAUGAAAUGGCAGCACUGGAGAUCAUGACAAGACACACGUUCAGGAAAGUUUAUUAUACUGCAUUUAAUCCCAGUCAUUUUCAGAGAGAGAUUAAAGGUUGAAGACUGAUUUAUAACAAGUCCCCACACAAACAUAGAUAAAGCACUAAAAGUGCCUCACUGACGAGCAAGAAGUGCAAUAAAUAACUGAGAAGUGAUACAUGCUGUAUGGGCGUCGCACAUAUGACGAGUUAGGAGUGAGAACGUGUUGAUCUGCAGGGAAGCAGGAGACUGUUGUUAUAGAGUGGAUUGAGGAUUUUUAUUCUUUAUUUCUAUUUUUCAAGACUUUGUGAAUUGUCUUUUUUUUAAAUAACUUGGCUUACCCUUUUUGGUUUUGUUAAUAUUGGCAAUAUGGAAUAUCUACUUAGUGUUGUUGAGACAACGUCGGUCUCUCCAAUUCUUUUUGUCUCGGUAGAGAUCACGCAGAGAUGUUUCCAAAUUUCACACAAUCCUUUUAUUACCCAUUUUCCUUACAGAUGCAUCUGGAGAUCAGCACACUGCAUCCUGUGCAGUCCUACUCUAAAGGCUGAUCUGAAGAGUUUCACACAACAGCUA
ensembl:lncRNA